UACGUAGGGAGCAAGCGUUGUCCGGAAUCAUUGGGCGUAAAGCGCGCGUAGGCGGCCCUGUAAGUCCGUUGUGAAAGUCAAAGGCUCAACCUUUGAAAGCCGAUGGAUACUGCAGGGCUGGAGUCCGGAAGAGGCGAGUGGAAUUCCUGGUGUAGCGGUGGAAUGCGCAGAUAUCAGGAGGAACACCGGUGGCGAAGGCGGGUCUCUGGGCAGUAACUGACGCUGAGGAGCGAAAGCGUGGGGAGCGAACAGG
rnacentral:rRNA from 1 species